CCUACGGGCGGCAGCAGUGAGGAAUCUUGGUCAAUGGACGAGAGUCUGACCCAGCCAAGUAGCGUGAAGGAUGACUGCCCUAUGGGUUGUAAACUUCUUUUAUAUGGGAGUAAAAUGUUCCAAGUGUGGGAUUUUGUAUGUACCAUAUGAAUAAGGAUCGGCUAACUCCGUGCCAGCAUCCGCGGUAAUACGGAGGAUCCGAGCGUUAUCCGGAUUUGUUGGGUUUAAAGGGAGCUUAGGUGGAUUGUUAAGUCAGUUGUGACAGUUUGCGGCUCAACCGUAAAAUUGCAGUUGAAACUGGCAGUCUUGAGUACAGUAGAGGUGGGCGGAAUUCGUGGUGUAGCGGUGAAAUGCUUAGAUAUCACGAAGAACUCCGAUUGCGAAGGCAGUUCACUGGACUGCAACUGACACUGAGGCUCGAAAGUGUGGGGAUCAAACAGGAUUAGAUACCCUUGUAGUC
rnacentral:rRNA from 1 species